AAAUAGAUUUCUUUCAAAUUAUUAAUCAAUUAACUUGCUUUGAAAAAUUACCAUCUCAGCAUAAUUAACAAACAACCCCUUACACAUUAGUCUUAUGUAGUCCGAUCGUUAUCUGAUCCGUAACUGAUCCUCAACUGAUCCUCUGUUAAUUCCCAUUGUUUUCAAAUUAAUGUUUUAUUUGACUAAUUUGUUGUUGGUUCUGUCAGUGAAUUAAUUAAUUUUAAUCAUUCAACAUGGUAGCUGUCAAAUCUUACUUGUUUAUCAAUCUGUCUAUUGGAACACAAUUUGUGCAAUACUCAACACUGGUAAUGCUUUUUUAACAUCAAAUUUGGUGACAAGAUAAUGGACAAGCCAACUUGCAGGAUUUCUGAUUAACUAAUCGUCAUUUAGCUGAGUGUCUGUUCCUGUUUAUCAUGUAAUAAGUCUGAUGAAACUCAAGAUUUGGCUCUUAUCCAACCUUUGCUGACCCAAGACACUGAUAUGGAUCAUGUAUUGAAAAUUAUGAAAUUUUGGACAAUAAACAAUCCUAUUGGUUCAUUGAAGCAUUACAUGCUGUCUUGACAAACAGACCGAACGUAAUCUAGCCGGGAAUCAAUGAUGAAAAUGGAACUAAAUUUGGUCAGCUUUAUUCAAACUGAAGAGUAAUGAACUGAUAUUGACUCUUAAAUCACUUUUAUUGUGAUAUAAUGUGAUUACAAUUCAAAAAUUGAAAUGAUUAUAUUCAAAGUCGCAACGAGAGAUAACCAGUCUGGUCAGAUUAUACAAUUUAAAAGUUUCCAUCUCUUCUACCGUGUCAAUGUCUUUUAAUAAUUUUGAUGAAAACACUUUUGCUUCUGCAUCUUUAAUAUCAUUCUUACUCACUUGAUUAUUUAUUUUUCCUAUUGUUUCUCUGCUUCCACCGCCAUCAUCAUGAUCAUCAACAUCAUCAAGCCCACAGUUUCCACCUUAAUUGUAACUAACCAGCCAACUAGGAGUGUCAAGUCCACAUUCCAAGUCGCACCAUCAAUCACUAUCAACAUUGAAAUAUACAAACUCAGUGAAACAAACUAUCCUGUUAUAAUAACUCUUAUUUUAUCAGAAUAAAGAGGAAAAAUUAAAAACUGAA